rnacentral:hammerhead_ribozyme from 1 species
ACACUGCUGACGAGUGCCAUACUAGGACGAAACGUUCGUCCAGUGC